AACGAACGUUGGCGGCGUGCUUAACACAUGCAAGUCGAGCGAGAAAGCCCCCGCAAGGGGGUGAGUAAAGCGGCGCACGGGUGAGUAACACGUGGGUGACGUACCCUCCGUUGGGGGAUAACACCUCGCAAGGGGUGCUAAUACCGCGUACGACCCGUCGGCUACGGCCGGCGGGUGAUAGGAGUGAUCCGGCGGAGGAGCGGCCGGCGGCCCAUCAGCGUGUUGGCGGGGUAAUGGCCCACCAAGGCAAUGACGGGUAGCCGGUCUGAGAGGAUAGCCAGCCACACUGGAACUGAGACACGGUCCAGACUCCUACGGGAGGCAGCAGUGGGGAAUCUUGCGCAAUGGGCGAAAGCCUGACGCAGCGACGCCGCGUGGGUGACGAAGGCCUUCGGGUCGUAAAGCCCUGUGGGGAGGGACGAACAAGCAGCAAUGCCCUGACGGUACCUCCUUAGCAAGCACCGGCCAACUCCGUGCCAGCAGCCGCGGUAAAAC
rnacentral:rRNA from 1 species